GAUGUCCUUUCUCCGCCCGCAGCCCACAAACACAAGAAGCAGGACCCGCUGCAGCCCUGCGACACGGAGUACCCCGUGUUCGUGUACCAGCCGGCCAUCCGGGAGGCCAACGGGAUCGUGGAGUGCGGGCCCUGCCAGAAGGUAUUUGUGGUGCAGCAGAUUCCCAACAGUAACCUCCUCCUCCUGGUGACAGACCCCACCUGUGACUGCAGCAUCUUCCCACCAGUGCUGCAGGAGGCGACAGAAGUCAAAUAUAAUGCCUCUGUCAAAUGUGACCGGAUGCGCUCCCAGAAGCUCCGCCGGCGACCAGACUCCUGCCACGCCUUCCAUCCAGAGGUGCGGGUUGAGGCGGAUCGAGGGUGGGCUGGAUUUUCAUCCCCAAACCCUCUGUGCCUGGGUCUGUGCCCCUGCAGACAGGAGCAUAUAGGGAUGCCAAUGAACACACCUGUGCCUGUGCUUCUCGGGGGAAACAUUCGCGUUUAUGCCCUGUGACACUGUGAUAUAAUAAGAAACAGAUCUUUAUUUAGUCUUUGUCCUGAUUCCUGGCAAGCUCCUAAAACGCUUGUUAUUUCCUG
rnacentral:lncRNA from 10 species